ensembl:lncRNA
CGACCUCCGACCCUGACGUUAGACACGCUAUUCUAAGUUAGUAAACGCGUCGUAGCAGUUGGAAGAAAAAAAAAAAAACAGCGAUCCGUCCUGCACAACUAUGCCGACUGACUGUAAGUAUUCAUAUGAGUGUAUCAUGAUUAUAUUAUGACUAUGUCUAUGUGAAUCAGCUGUUUAUAUCUGACCGUAGCUGCGAUUACUUCACAGCGAAUUGCGGUGCCGGAGGCGAGAGCGUGAAACAGCAGCAGGGUCCACGUGGAAAUUUGCCUGAUAUUCGGCUCAACAUUCAAAGACCGAUUCUAGCAGACCAGACUAAUGUGCUGACAAGCGGUAGUUUUGUACCUAUCGAGGCCAAUGUCAUUCAGCGAACCCCGGACCAAAUCGACUGUCCAAGAAGAAUUUGAAAAGAUCGGCGGGGGUAGUGGUGGCUAUACCCUGUUCACCACUGGCCAUAGAACAGCUACAAAUUCCUUAUAAAAAGGCUCGCAAGGAUGCCACACAUAAUGGUUUAACUCCGGAGAAUAUUACCCAGGUUAUACAGACAGUCAUAAAUCCGCAAAUUGCGCCACAUGGAGCGGCAUGGACUGAUCCCAAACACCGUGUGAUCGGGGACGUGGAGGUGUAUGCGCCUGAGUCGCCUACAGAGACCGUCACUGUGCAACCGGAUGGGACUAUACAACACGCCCAUGGAGAUCCCCAGUGUGCGCCACCACCAGAGCUGACUGCCGACGAUUGGGCUGGUCUUGACGACAUCUCGUCCUGGACUUCAUCGUUGUUGGAACAUAUCGACUUCACUCCUGCGCAGUGGAUCGACUCUCCAGCUACAUCCGUAGAGGCUACCACCAGUGCAGAGCCUGUACAACACCAUCAGCCUGCAGAUCCUGCAUCUGGACCCCUACAAGCCAUUCAAGACCCUAUCAGCGACCCCCCCGUGCACCGUGAGUC